AUCUACAGCCAUGCUACCCUGAACAAGCCUGAUUUCGUCCGAUCUCAGAAGCUAAGCAGGAUCGGGCCUGGUUAGUACUUGGAUGGGAGACCACCUAAGAAGACCAGGUGCUGUAGGCG
rnacentral:rRNA from 1 species